rnacentral:misc_RNA from 1 species
UGAUACUGGAAUGUUUCUAGACUGAGAUUUCAAGUUUGAGUUAUAGUCGGAGCCGAUUGUAUUAAACAAAUAAUAUAUAUAAUCUGCAAGUGAAAGCCAAAUAUAUGUAAAAUAUAUGUAUUUAUAGAUAGUUAAGAUUUGCUAAUCACGCUGGAUACAACUGAUCAUGGCAUUCCCCAGAGAGAUACUAAUAUACGAUACAUCUAUUUCUUGCAGGGAAAUACCCGAUAUGUUGAUUUGGAACACUCAUUUGAGCAAGAAAUCAUGAGCCUGUUACACAUAGUAGGGCAUCAGGGUUGAGCAAUUUCAACAACCUCAACCUUGGACCUUCAAGGCUCGACUAUGUUAUGGCAUUGCCUUAAUAUAGGGCACAUGCAUGAAAUAUGGAGCUCUCGUUUAAUUUUCCUCAACUUUAUCAUUAUUAGCCAUGGUCCAUGUAAAUGUUGCAACGUUGUAUGUUUUACCAAGAUAUUGUAAAUG